ACACAAAAUCAAGUAAAGUCGUUAAAAAAAAAGUAAAUGCAUUUUUUUACGAGAAUGAAAGGACUGUGUACGUCUCAAAAUGGCGGACGUUACUCUUCAAACUCCACCCCAGUGACGUUUUAAAGACCAAGCGAGGAGAACACCACCUCCGAGGAGCCUCUGGAAGCCUGUUAAAUUGCAAACUAGCUGUUGGCUAGCGUCUCUUGCCCCAUCGUGGAAAGCACCCGUCGCCGGUGACAAGUCGGCUUGUCGGUUUUCACUGCCAGAAUUGAAGAACGUAUCAUAUCAAGACUGACCUGUGAGGGGCAGCACCGUGCCACAGGGGAAUCCAUACAGCUGGAAGAAAACAGAAGAAGAAAGCGUCCUAAUUUGCUUUUGUUCUAUUCGGUGUCACAAUGGCCGAGCUUGGUAAAUAUUGUAUGAAAGUUAAGAUUCACACUCGAUGGGUGGGCAGGCGCAGCAGUUAAAUUUUCAUCGUGUUUCCUUCUUUUCUUUCAGCGUAUUUUUUUUUCUUCUUCUUCUUCUUUAGAAAUGUCAACAAUCUAUUUCAUGAUCCGGGAAUGGAUUGUACCGGAGCUAAAAGGUCCCUCUGUGUAUUUUAGUUGUCUGUUUUCCUUUUGUUUCCCUCCCUGACAGCUUUCCUUCAAGAGGUCGGAAGUCCCCUUUUCAAUGC